rnacentral:tRNA from 1 species
AUCAAAAUGACAGAAUUAUGUGAUAGACUUAAAGCCUAUUUAUGAGGUAACUCUUUUGACA